GCCAGACUCCUACGGGAGGCAGCAGUGGGGAAUAUUGCACAAUGGGGGAAACCCUGAUGCAGCGACGCCGCGUGGGUGAAGGAGUAUUUCGGUAUGUAAAGCCCUCUCAGCAGGGAAGAUAAUGACGGUACCUGACUAAGAAGCCCCGGCUAACUACGUGCCAGCAGCCGCGGUAAUACGUAGGGGGCAAGCGUUAUCCGGAUUUACUGGGUGUAAAGGGAGCGUAGACGGCAGCGCAAGCCUGGAGUGAAAGGAUGGGGCCCAACCCCAUGACUGCUCUGGGAACUGUGCGGCUAGAGUGCCGGAGGGGUAAGCGGAAUUCCUAGUGUAGCGGUGAAAUGCGUAGAUAUUAGGAGGAACACCAGUGGCGAAGGCGGCUUACUGGACGGUAACUGACGUUGAGGCUCGAAAGCGUGGGGAGCAAACAGGAUUAGAUACCCCUGUA
rnacentral:rRNA from 1 species